CUACUCUUGAGGAAUGUUGAGCGUUCCUGCCCAAAGGGUUACAAAGAAGAGUGAGGGUCGGAGCACAGAGCUUCUGCCAGCAGCCAGAGGACAGUGAGCGCUUCACCGUCGGGGUCCCUGAGAAUUUGCUGUUUCUCAGACCGCAGCCCAUUGCACCCAGUGGUGGUGUAAGCCGUGUGAACAGGAAGCGUGUUGAUGCGUCACUGAUCAUCUGCACGCUCAGGAGUUUCCUCCACCCCUCGGCUCUUCCCAUCUUUACCACUCUUUGCAAAGAUCCACAGCCCUUGUCGGUAUUUCAGGAGCCCUUUCGUUCCCCUCUUCCAGCGAUACACAGUUCUGCUUCAGUGUGUAUAAUCCUAGCCAGGCCUAAAGAACGGGUGGGGUUUAAUAGGUAUUAAAUACUCACACGCAUGUGCAUGCUUUGGAAAAACCCAGUCCUGGCAAAUAAGAACCAACUGCAGGUUAUGUGGGA
rnacentral:lncRNA from 1 species